UCCUGGCUCAGGAUGAACGCUAGCUACAGGCUUAACACAUGCAAGUCGAGGGGAAACGACAUCGAAAGCUUGCUUUUGAUGGGCGUCGACCGGCGCACGGGUGAGUAACGCGUAUCCAACCUGCCCACCACUUGGGGAUAACCUUGCGAAAGUAAGACUAAUACCCAAUGACGUCUCUAGAAGACAUCUGAAAGAGAUUAAAGAUUUAUCGGUGAUGGAUGGGGAUGCGUCUGAUUAGCUUGUUGGCGGGGUAACGGCCCACCAAGGCGACGAUCAGUAGGGGUUCUGAGAGGAAGGUCCCCCACAUUGGAACUGAGACACGGUCCAAACUCCUACGGGAGGCAGCAGUGAGGAAUAUUGGUCAAUGGACGAGAGUCUGAACCAGCCAAGUAGCGUGCAGGAUGACGGCCCUAUGGGUUGUAAACUGCUUUUAUAAGGGAAUAAAGUGAGUCUCGUGAGACUUUUUGCAUGUACCUUAUGAAUAAGGACCGGCUAAUUCCGUGCCAGCAGCCGCGGUAAUACGGAAGGUCCGGGCGUUAUCCGGAUUUAUUGGGUUUAAAGGGAGCGUAGGCCGGAGAUUAAGCGUGUUGUGAAAUGUAGACGCUCAACGUCUGCACUGCAGCGCGAACUGGUUUCCUUGAGUACGCACAAAGUGGGCGGAAUUCGUGGUGUAGCGGUGAAAUGCUUAGAUAUCACGAAGAACUCCGAUUGCGAAGGCAGCUCACUGGAGCGCAACUGACGCUGAAGCUCGAAAGUGCGGGUAUCGAACAGGAUUAGAUACCCUGGUAGUCCGCACGGUAAACGAUGGAUGCCCGCUGUUGGUCUGAAUAGGUCAGCGGCCAAGCGAAAGCAUUAAGCAUCCCACCUGGGGAGUACGCCGGCAA
rnacentral:rRNA from 1 species